CAGCCGCCACGGUAAUACGUAGGGUGCAAGCGUUAAUCGGAAUUACUGGGCGUAAAGCGUGCGCAGGCGGUUUGUUAAGACAGAUGUGAAAUCCCCGGGCUCAACCUGGGAACUGCAUUUGUGACUGGCAAGCUAGAGUGUGGCAGAGGGGGGUGGAAUUCCGCGUGUAGCAGUGAAAUGCGCAGAUAUGCGGAGGAACACCGAUGGCGAAGGCAGCCCCCUGGGCCAACACUGACGCUCAUGCACGAAAGCGUGGGGAGCAAACAGGAUUAGAGACCCCUGUAGUCCCUGUCUCUUAUAC
rnacentral:rRNA from 1 species